rnacentral:rRNA from 1 species
UACGAAGGGGGCUAGCGUUGCUCGGAAUGACUGGGCGUAAAGGGCGCGUAGGCGGUUUGUCUAGUCAGGCGUGAAAUUCCUGGGCUCAACCUGGGGACUGCGCUUGAUACAGGCAGACUAGAGUGUGAAAGAGGGUUGUGGAAUUCCCAGUGUAGAGGUGAAAUUCGUAGAUAUUGGGAAGAACACCGGUGGCGAAGGCGGCAACCUGGUUCAUUACUGACGCUGAGGCGCGAAAGCGUGGGGAGCAAACAGG